rnacentral:rRNA from 1 species
GACGAACGCUGGCGGCGUGCUUAACACAUGCAAGUCGAACGGUAAGGCCCUUCGGGGUACACGAGUGGCGAACGGGUGAGUGACACGUGGGUGAUCUGCCCUGCACUUCGGGAUAAGCCUGGGAAACUGGGUCUAAUACCGGAUAGGACCACUGCCUGCAUGGGUGGUGGUGGAAAGCUUUUGCGGUGUGGGAUGGGCCCGCGGCCUAUCAGCUCGUUGGUGGGGUGAUGGCCUACCAAGGCGACGACGGGUAGCCGGCCUGAGAGGGUGACCGGCACACUGGGACUGAGAUACGGCCCAGACUCCUACGGGAGGCAGCAGUGGGGAAUAUUGCACAAUGGGCGCAAGCCUGAUGCAGCGACGCCGCGUGAGGGAUGACGGCCUUCGGGUUGUAAACCUCUUUCAGCACCGACGAAGCGCAAGUGACGAUAGGUGCAGAAGAAGGACCGGCCAACUACGUGCCAGCCGCCGCCGUAA